UAUGUGCUUCUCCCGCUCCUGCCCGGCUUCGAGGGGGACAUCGCGCAGGGCGGGAGUAACUCCAUCCAGGCCAUCCUUCACUUCACUUACCGGACUCUGUGCCGCGGAGAGUCGUCCAUCGUCCGCCGCCUCCAGGCAGGGAUGGGGGAGGCCUGGAGGGACUACAUCUCGUUUUGCGGCCUCCGGACUCACGGGGAGCUGCGGGGCGUCCUCCUGAC